GGAAACUUUUGCUUUCCUAGUCCUUGACUGGGCUGAAGUACGGGGCACUUUAACUUUCUCGUCUUCAUCUUUCUACUUUUUGCUGCCUUUCUCUGUGUGUGACUGUGUGUGAUCCCCUUACUUCAGGACUCCUUUAUGUGCAAGAGAAAGUUCAACUCAGACUUCCAGAAACUUCAGUUAGAAAGGAAACAAGGAGAUGGU
rnacentral:lncRNA from 1 species